rnacentral:rRNA from 1 species
AACGAACGCUGGCGGCAGGCCUAACACAUGCAAGUCGAGCGAGGACUUCGGUCCUGGCGGCGGACGGGUGAGUAACGCGUGGGAACGUGCCCUUUGCUUCGGAAUAGCCCUGGGAAACUGGGAGUAAUACCGGAUGAGCCCUUUGGGGGAAAGAUUUAUCGGCGAAGGAUCGGCCCGCGUUGGAUUAGGUAGUUGGUGGGGUAAUGGCCUACCAAGCCGACGAUCCAUAGCUGGUUUGAGAGGAUGAUCAGCCACACUGGGACUGAGACACGGCCCAGACUCCUACGGGAGGCAGCAGUGGGGAAUCUUAGACAAUGGGGGAAACCCUGAUCUAGCCAUGCCGCGUGAGCGAUGAAGGCCUUAGGGUUGUAAAGCUCUUUCAGCUGGGAAGAUAAUGACGGUACCAGCAGAAGAAGCCCCGGCUAACUCCGUG